UAGGGAGACCUACCCAUUGAAGAAUCGAAAGCCGAAGGCGAAUAGAGAAUCAAAUGGUCUACUCUAGGUCGAUGACGUGAGAUUGUGAAGUCUUUCAAACUAAUAUUUGGUUCGCGGGCUAUUAGCUCAGGUGGUUAGAGCGCACCCCUGAUAAGGGUGAGGUCCCUGGUUCGAGUCCAGGAUGGCCCACCUGGGGGUUUAGCUCAGUUGGUAGAGCGCCUGCUUUGCAAGCAGGAUGUCAGCGGUUCGAGUCCGCUAACCUCCACAUUAGGAAGAAACUAGCAACUAGGGAAGACCUAGACUGCUGGUGGAAACCAGCCAGAACCUUGAAAACUGCAUAUAGAUAGAUAAGAGAGCCGAAAUCGAAAGAUAGAAGCAAGUGAAGAACCAAGU
rnacentral:tRNA from 1 species